GAUCAUGGCUCAGAACGAACGCUGGCGGCGCGUUUAAGCAUGCAAGUCGAGCGGCAAGGGCCUUCGGGCCCCUAGAGCGGCGGACGGGUGAGUAACACGUGGACAAUCUGCCCCCCGGCCAGGGAUAGCCCAGGGAAACCUGGAUUAAUACCGGAUGAGACGGGACCCGCGAUGGCGGGAUCCGGGAAAGGCGCUGCGGCGCCGCCGGGGGAUGAGUCUGCGUCCCAUUAGCUAGACGGCGGGGUAACGGCCCACCGUGGCGACGAUGGGUAGCCGGCCUGAGAGGGUGGACGGCCACAUUGGAACUGAGACACGGUCCAGACUCCUACGGGAGGCAGCAGCUAAGAAUCUUCCGCAAUGGGCGAAAGCCUGACGGAGCCGACGCCGCGUGAACGAAGAAGGCCGUGAGGUUGUAAAGUUCUUUUCGGGAGGGGGAACAACCGUGGCAGGGAAUGGCCGCGGGAUGACGUGAAUCCCGGAAUAAGCCCCGGCUAACUACGUGCCAGCCGCUGC
rnacentral:rRNA from 1 species